rnacentral:rRNA from 1 species
UACGUAGGUGGCAAGCGUUGUCCGGAAUUAUUGGGCGUAAAGCGCGCGCAGGCGGUCCUUUAAGUCUGAUGUGAAAGCCCUCGGCUCAACCGAGGAAGGUCAUUGGAAACUGGAGGACUUGAGUGCAGAAGAGGAAAGUGGAAUUCCAAGUGUAGCGGUGAAAUGCGUAGAGAUUUGGAGGAACACCAGUGGCGAAGGCGACUUUCUGGUCUGUAACUGACGCUGAGGCGCGAAAGCGUGGGGGAGCAAACAGG